rnacentral:rRNA from 1 species
UACGUAGGGUGCAAGCGUUGUCCGGAAUUAUUGGGCGUAAAGAGCUUGUAGGCGGUUUGUCGCGUCUGCUGUGAAAUUUCGGGGCUCAACCCCCGAACUUGCAGUGGGUACGGGCAGACUAGAGUGUGGUAGGGGAGACUGGAAUUCCUGGUGUAGCGGUGAAAUGCGCAGAUAUCAGGAGGAACACCGGUGGCGAAGGCGGGUCUCUGGGCCGAUACUGACGCUGAGGAGCGAAAGCGUGGGGAGCGAACAGG